AUACUUAUCUGACAGGGAGGCAUUCUGAUCUUGAAGGUGGUUUUCGAGAGUGAGCCUCAUCACUAGCACUUCAGGUAGGCUGACUCCUGCAAUUUCCCCAGAUCCAGGGAACUUGACUGUAAAAUUUGUAAUGUUGGAGACUGUUUUUGUUCUUUUUCCUG
rnacentral:snRNA from 9 species